UAACUCCGGGAGUCCGGGGCUAAUACCGAAUGAUAAAGUGUGGCGCAUGCCAUGCUGUUGAAAGAUGGUUUCGGCUAUCGCUUACAGAUGGGCCCGCGGUGCAUUAGCUAGUUGGUGGGGUAAUGGCCUACCAAGGCAACGAUGCAUAGCCGACCUGAGAGGGUGAUCGGCCACACUGGGACAGAGACACGGCCCAGACUCCUACGGGAGGCAGCAGUAGGGAAUCUUCCGCAAUGGGCGAAAGUCUGACGGAGCAACGCCGCGUGUAGGAAGAAGGUUUUCGGAUCGUAAAGUACUGUUGUUAGAGAAGAACAAGGAUAAGAGU
rnacentral:rRNA from 1 species